rnacentral:rRNA from 1 species
GGUUGAUCCUGCCAGUAGUCAUAUGCUUGUCUCAAAGAUUAAGCCAUGCAUGUCUAAGUAUAAACUGCUUUAUACUGCGAAACUGCGAAUGGCUCAUUAAAUCAGUUAUAGUUUAUUUGAUGGUACUUACUACUCGGAUAACCGUAGUAAUUCUAGAGCUAAUACGUGCGCAAAUCCCGACUUCUGGAAGGGACGUAUAUAUUAGAUAAAAGGCCAGCCGAGCUUGCUCGACUUGAGGCGAAUCAUGAUAUCUCCACGAAUCGCAUGGCCUUGUGCCGGCGAUGUUUCAUUCA